GGGGAUUUAGCUCAGUGGCAGAGCACUUGCCUAGCAAGCACAAGGCCCUGGGUUCAGUUCCCAGCUCCG
rnacentral:tRNA from 1 species